GAUCCUGGCUCAGAAUCAACGCUGGCGGCGUGCCUAACACAUGCAAGUCGCACGAGAAAGGGACUUCGGUCCUGAGUACAGUGGCGCACGGGUGAGUAACACGUGAAUCAUCUACCUUCGAGUGGGGAAUAACUGAGAGAAAUCUUAGCUAAUACCGCAUAAUACCUACGGGUCAAAGCAGCAAUGCGCUUGAAGAGGAGUUCGCGGCAGAUUAGUUAGUUGGCGGGGUAAUGGCCCACCAAGACGAUGAUCUGUAUCCGGCCUGAGAGGGCGCACGGACACACUGGAACUGAAACACGGUCCAGACUCCUACGGGAGGCAGCAG
rnacentral:rRNA from 1 species